CCUACGGGUGGCUGCAGUGGGGAAUAUUGGACAAUGGGGGGAACCCUGAUCCAGCCAUGCCGCGUGUGUGAAGAAGGCCCUCGGGUUGUAAAGCACUUUCAGUGAGGAAGAACGCCUGGUGGUUAAUACCCAUCAGGAAAGACAUCACUCACAGAAGAAGCACCGGCUAACUCCGUGCCAGCAGCCGCGGUAAUACGGAGGGUGCGAGCGUUAAUCGGAAUUACUGGGCGUAAAGCGCGCGUAGGUGGCUUGAUAAGCCGGUUGUGAAAGCCCCGGGCUCAACCUGGGAACGGCAUCCGGAACUGUCAAGCUAGAGUGCAGGAGAGGAAGGUAGAAUUCCCGGUGUAGCGGUGAAAUGCGUAGAGAUCGGGAGGAAUACCAGUGGCGAAGGCGGCCUUCUGGACUGACACUGACACUGAGGUGCGAAAGCGUGGGUAGCAAACAGGAUUGGAUACCCUAGUAGUC
rnacentral:rRNA from 1 species